UGAACCACAAAAAUAUUGUGAAAUAUCUUGGAUCCUUAAAGACUAAGAGUCACCUCCACAUAAUUCUUGAGGGGGAAGAAAUUUUACACUACUGUUGAUACUUUGACUCAACGAGAGCCUUAUUCAAUGCUUGCUACAAUGUUCAGUGGUUGGCAUACUGUGUGUCAGGAUCCUGAAAUGGGAUUUGUAUUUGUUGAUAGGGAUGGAAAACAUUUCCGACACAUACUUAAUUGGUUAAGGGAUGGUGUUGUUCCUACAUUAAAAGACUCUCAAUUUGCCGAGCUUUUGAGGGAGGCAGAAUACUACCUGCUACCGGUAAGUAGAGUCUAAUACUUAUUUUGUGUUAACAUCAGGAUAUUGCUUUGUGUAUAUUUACAUGUAGGUGCUCUUACAAUUUUUUUUUUUAGUUCGGGAUCUUUUUCAUUUGAUUUUCAUGUGCUCAUUGUCUACAUAUGGAAGUUGAUCGUUCAUAUCAAUUAGCCAGACAUGUCUUAAUGCAUUGUUAUAAUAAUUCUUGUUUUGCUUUAUGCCAUGCCCUUUUUUUUUUUUCACAUCUUUGGAUUUUCAUUGUCAAAUUUGAGGAAUUUCUCCUAUAAGUUUCUUUCUAUAGAAGUAAUAUUGAUCAUCCGAACUUGAUCAGUACUCAAGUCAAACAAGACAUUGAUCCAGAAUCCAGUGGUGGGAUGAAUGGUUACAUUUUUGUUUCUAAUAGACCAGUGCAGCCUGCGCAAAUAGAUUCACCAAUUAGUGGCAUGGAUAUGAUUGCUGAUAAUAAAGUCUUGUCAGUGUUCUACAAGUGUCCAGCCUUCCAUGUACACAUUCCUAGACCACCAAGUGGAGUUCAUUAUCCAAAUAAGUCUAUCCUCAAGAAGCAUGUUAAACCCACACCAUUUUUUUGGCAUGAGAAGUCUGC